UAGGGAAUCUUCCGCAAUGGACGAAAGUCUGACGGAGCAACGCCGCGUGAGUGAAGAAGGAUUUCGGUUCGUAAAACUCUGUUGUUAGGGAAGAAAAAAUGUAUAGUAACUAUAUACAAAAGAGACGGUACCUAACCAGAAAGCCACGGCUAACUACGUGCCAACAGCCGCGGUAAUACGUAGGUGGCAAGCGUUGUCCGGAAUUAUUGGGCGUAAAGCGCGCGCAGGUGGUUUAGAAAGUCUGAUGUGAAAGCCCACGGCUCAACCGUGGAGGGUCAUUGGAAACUAAUAAACUUGAGUGCAGGAGAGAAAAGUGGAAUUCCUAGUGUAGCGGUGAAAUGCGUAGAGAUUAGGAGGAACACCGGUGGCGAAAGCGGCUUUUUGGCCUGCAACUGACACUGAGGCGCGAAAGCGUGGGGAGCAAACAGG
rnacentral:rRNA from 1 species